ensembl:lncRNA
UGAUAAUAAGGAAUUACAGUAGUCAAGCCUAGAAGUAACAAAUGCAUUGUUACGAGAAAAGCGUUUAAACGGUCAAAUCAUUUUUCUGAGCAGUGAUCAACAUUUCACGGUUCACAUUCAGUGUUAACUCUGCGUCACUAGGGAACAGAGAGAUGUCAUUUUUACAUUUAGACUUAUUUUCUGUCUUUACUAUAUUUUCAGUAACACCAAAUUUCUUACUUUCAUCUAGGUUAGUCACGAAUGACUCAGGUAAAUCCACAAUAUGACCAAGUUUACGAGCCUGUGCAGAGGUAACGGUGCACACAGGGAACAGAUUUAGUUCAGAGAGGUCAGCAGGAGCAGCCGAGGAUGAGACGGGGACCAGAACAUUACAACCAGGAGCCCCUUAUCGUAGCCAAAUCAGAGACGGACGACGGAGUGAGAGAGUAGAUGCAAAUCGUGGAACUGGCCAGGUCCUUGAUUGAUGGCGAGCUUAAUGGAGCCCUGAACCUAAAGCAAAGCAACUGCUGAAGAACUGAGUCGCACCUCUCCUGCCAGGCUGGUAGGGGGCUCUUUGUGGCCCACAAACUCUCCCCACUCAAAACCUUGAAUUGUCCGCCUUGUCCACAUACAAUCUUUUUUUCCACAAACCCCUCCUAUGCGCACUUUUCCUCCUGGACAAUCACAUUCAACCCAGACGUGGGUUACAUGAACUGUGGGUUGGGUUGGUACAUUGGAGUCAAUUUCC